rnacentral:antisense_RNA from 1 species
AUCUCCUCUUCAUCGCAUCUUUUCAAGCCAGUCUCGUUUUGAGAAAGGAGACGACUAGACCAGGCCAGCCUGGAAUCCCCGGUAUUCCGCGUGCGCAGUGCGGCUCAUGCUACGGUGAACAUCCCAUGCCUUGCACAGCAUGCAGAGCGCUGAACCUAAGGACCGAACUACUUGGUGACUAGUGCUUCAGUCGUCCAUCCGGUCAGGAAAAAUUUAGUACUUCCGGGUCACAGACAAAGGCCACAGUCAAGUUGUGGCGUCAUCUUUGAACUUGGCUUACCAGUGUGUGCAUUGCUUUCGGCCUUCACGAUAAACCUGUCUGAGAAGAUUCAGUGCUGGUUUCCCUAUCACUCCCUGUUUCACCUUGAGAAAAGCCUCCUGGUUCCAGGAAACUGAGUCGCCACGAGCCUUCUUCAGAUGCUUGUCAAGACUAAUGCAGCUGAUGAGAUGCUUGCUCUUUUCUGCUCAAGUUUGAGUGUUCGAGGCCAGUAGCCUCCUGACUGAUUGACUGACUAAUCAAGAUGCAGAAAAGGCAAGGGUAUUGCAGCUAUUGCCGUGUGCAGUAUACUAACCUGGAACAGCACUUGUUUAGUUCUCAGCACAGAAGCCUGACCAGACAGAGCAGACGUCGGACAGCUACUAAUAACACUCUGAUGGAACGCUUUUUGCAGGAUGUUCUGCGACACCACCCAUAUAAUUACCAAGACAACAGAUCUGCACCAAAUGAGCCAGAGGCGGCGGCAGCAGCGGCAGCAGCAGCAGAUCCUGGAUCACCUGAAGUGGUGGUGGUUUUGGAUGAUUCUGAUGAGAAGGAGGAUGAUACUGCAGAUAGCGGUGCAGAGAGGAACUCCGAGGAUUCAGGAUCUGUUGAAGAGAUAGAUUAUAGACCUGGUACUUCUCAGGAACACGCAGAAGUUGCAGUUCGACCAUCAGUUAUUCAAAAACUGGAACGGGGACAGCAGCAGUCCUUGGAAUUGGCUCAUAAAGUUGAGAGUGGUGUGAAAAAAGUUAAUUCAGUCGGUGUUGUUCAGGCUACAACUAGUGGAAAAAAGUUAGUGCGUCCCCCUGUGAUUUGUAAUGCUCCUGCCAGCUCUUUGCCUAGCGGCUCUUUCGAGAGACCAGUUGCGGCUAACAGUGUUCCUCGGUUAGUACUGGCAGUUGCUUCAGAUUCUUUUCCAGCUUGUGACACAGAGAACCUUGAAACAUACUUUGACUCCCCAGAUCAGGGCCCUAGCAACCCAUCAUCUCAACCCAAAACUAAAGACCCAAAAAAGAAACUAAGUAUAAAUUUAGACAAAUUGCUUGCACAGAGAAAUCUUAGGGCUAAGGGUGCGUCUUUUUCCCCUGUCGUACGAGUCCGUGAGCUAACAGGUUCUGAGCUUUGUUCUGUAAGAGCUGAGUCUUCUGAGUUAGAGGCAGGUACAGCAGGAAACCCGAGGGAGACUGACACACUACCAGAACAAGCACGUGAAGGUGCCAUUCCAAAGCGUCGUGAGGCAUCUCGUUCAAAUACAGUUCGUCCCCAAGAAGAAACACGUUUGGUUCUUAACAAGCCAACACUUCUGAAACAGAAGCGCUCAGUGAGUUCUGAAGAGAGGUUCAGUUGUGGGUCUCGUCAGGCAGUACCUGGUCCUUCCCAAGCUGCUGUACGUGACUUAAGUCUUUUGGAGGAGGAAGUGGAGGAGGAGAAGCAGGAAGAAGAGGAAGAGGAGGAGCAGGAAGAAGAGGAGGAGCAUGAAGAGGAGGAGGAGGGAGUUGACCAAGAAGAUGCGAGUUAUGAAUCUAGAGGUUCUGACAUGAGUUUUGAUUGUGGGUCCUCUUGUCAGUCGCUGAGUGCCCUAUCUGAACUGACCGCCAGAGAAAUAAAUGUAUCAGAAGAAACACAUGCUUAUUCUCAGCCUAGGAAUGAAACACCCACUGUUUCUGGAGCAACUUCAGAUAAUGGUAGCAGUUCUCGUCAGGUGAUUACACAGAACAUACAGCUCAUUAGUCUGGUUGAUGAAAGCUAUGAGUCUAGUGGCUCUGAAGUGAAUUUUGAUGGUGAUGACUCACUACCGUCAACUAGUCACCGUCCCCCACAGCCCGUGGAAGUAGUAGUGCCCCUUCGUUUGGUUGACAAGAGCUAUGGAAGUGGUAGCUCUGAACCAUGUGAGGAUUCCGGGUCCUCAGCU